UGGGGGAUAUUGCACAAUGGGGGAAACCCUGAUGCACGCGACGCCGCGUGAGUGAAGAAGUAUUUCGGUAUGUAAAGCUCUAUCAGCGGGGAAGAAAAGGGCGGAAGCCCGGACAGUACCCGAAUAAGAAGCCCCGGCUAACUACGUGCC
rnacentral:rRNA from 1 species